CCAUGAUGAUGUCUAGCCAUGCUAAUACUGAGGAUGCUUUAGGCAUUCGCUGAGUUAAACUUUUCUCAUAAUAUCUGAAUGGA